AGGGAGUUGGCAUGGAAACGGGCGGUCGACAACACUGGCAAGCUGCACGCUCCGUGUCUCGCUGCUGUUUUCACUGAUUUCGAAAUGGUUAAGUGUUUUCGAACAAGUCCGUGAGCAUCUGAACCUUUAUCAGAGGAGUGCUUGAUGAUCUUCUGCAUCCCAUGAUGAGCAAACCUCCUGUCCAACAACAUCUCCAAGGCACACUGAUCCAUAUGACUAGCAGCGAAAUAUACAUUGUGGACCAAAGAGGAAACUGACAACACACAGACAGAAGAAGACAGAGAAGGUCACUUCUGAUCCAUCAAAGUCCUCAUCUUCUGUGUCUGAGUUGAACAGCUGGGCAACAGCUUUUGAACAGCUUUCUUCAUCAAACAUGCCGGGUUCCCUCUCAUCAUGGUUGAUCGCUGCCAGCGUACGUAGUGUACGUAUUAUGUCCCUGUGUCAGCGGGAAAUGGUCCGACAGUCAGAUGACUGUUGUGAAGAUGGAAGAGUGCAGGAUCUACAAUUACACUAAUAAUAAAAUUUUUGAAGUAGUUUGA